AAUUAAUCGUCCAUUAAUUUUACCAAAAUAUUGUAGUAUAAAUAUGCACGUACUUACCAACAAGAUUAUUUACAUUCCAAGCAUUACAUUAAAAAUAAUUGUACGAGAAAGUGUAGAUUAUUGCAUACGUCCAAUCUCAAACAUGAAAUCAUCACACUUUGUUCCCGUCAUGUUGCUCCUACUACUCUUUGCUUCUUCGUCCGGCGGCAUAUCAGCAGUUAGAUUACCAGGAUCAUCGGUUGUAGAUGGCAAAGUGGUAGCUGAUUUACUUACUACUAGAACCGGUAAUGGGUGUACUGAUAUCGGCGCAUGUACUAGAGCUACUUGCUAUGGAAUUUGUCCAGGUUUGGGAGCUUGCAUAUUUGACGAUACUGCGAAAAGCGGCGUUGUUUGUUGUUGUAUUUAAUUUAAUAUUCCUUAUAAUAUAAUAACCGAUUGAUUGUCGAAAACUAUGGAACGGAGGUAGUAGUACUUAUGAACAUGUAACACGUUUAUGUCAAAACGGAAUAAGAAAAUUUGUUCUUAGUUA